rnacentral:tRNA from 1 species
CGUAGCUCAGUUGGCAGAGCGGUGGACUGUAGCGGUUAAAUAACAGUUAUCCAUCGGUCACUGGUUCGAUUCCGGUC